rnacentral:rRNA from 1 species
GACGAACGCUGGCGGCGUGCCUAAUACAUGCAAGUAGAACGCUGAAGAGAGGAGCUUGCUCUUCUUGGAUGAGUUGCGAACGGGUGAGUAACGCGUAGGUAACCUGCCUGGUAGCGGGGGAUAACUAUUGGAAACGAUAGCUAAUACCGCAUAAAAUGGAUUAUCGCAUGAUAAUUCAUUGAAAGGUGCAAAUGCAUCACUACCAGAUGGACCUGCGUUGUAUUAGCUAGUUGGUGGGGUAACGGCUCACCAAGGCAACGAUACAUAGCCGACCUGAGAGGGUGAUCGGCCACACUGGGACUGAGACACGGCCCAGACUCCUACGGGAGGCAGCAGUAGGGAAUCUUCGGCAAUGGACGGAAGUCUGACCGAGCAACGCCGCGUGAGUGAAGAAGGUUUUCGGAUCGUAAAGCUCUGUUGUAAGAGAAGAAC